rnacentral:rRNA from 1 species
GUGAAUCACUUGGCUCGCAGAUCGAGGAAGAACAUUGCCAUAUGUGGUAAUUUCUGUGAACUGCAGGUCACAAAGAACAGAGAGUUGUU